AUGGCAUUUGGAGUGCUCCAAGCUUGUUUUCUAGUUGUUCAAGAAUUUGCAAAAAUAUGGGAUCCAAAGACGUUGUCGGUGGUGAUGACAGUUUGUGUGAUCACACACAACAUGAUUGUGGAGGCUGAGAAUGAUAGAGUUCGCCAUUGUCUGGAAUUUGAGCGCAUGGGUGAUCCUAUCCAACUUCCAGAGCAAAAUUUGGCAACGUUUGAGGAUUUUAUCCAAAUGCAUCAACAGAUUCGCCAUCGAGUAACUCAUGAGCAGCUUCUGAAUGGUCUAGUUGAGCAUUUGAGGCCACAGUUUUCGACAAUGGACCCUCUAUCGGCCUUCACUCUCGUGACUGCCGUGAUGAUGGGUUGGAUGGGUGAUGCGGGUGCCGGAACUUCGGCCACGACUGGGGUGGUUGUUUUUAGUCCCAUGCGAGAGUUUUCUACUCGCUCCAGCCGCUCCCUCUACCUCCAAUGCAAUGGUGGUGACAACGACUAUGGCAAUGGACGGGUCGUCGGCUUAGGUUGCCGGCACAUUCACCUUGGCCAUACCAUCGUUCCUGCCAGGGUUUGGUCUUGCGCAGUCUACUCCAUCUCCACCUUCAGCAUGGUCUAG
rnacentral:rRNA from 1 species